AUCCGUUAUCACGAAUCCUGUAAUAGGAUAGCAACCUGCAACAACAAGCAAGGUGCUAAAACGAUAAGCCAAAUCCUUUGGAAAAAAUGUUGUUUUA
rfam:Flavobacterium fryxellicola strain DSM 16209 FBFR08, whole genome shotgun sequence.